rnacentral:rRNA from 1 species
CCUACGGGAGGCAGCAGUGAGGAAUAUUGGUCAAUGGCCGGAAGGCUGAACCAGCCAUGCCGCGUGAAGGUCAGUGCCCUAUGGGCGUUAAACUUCUUUUGUGCGGGAGCAGUAAUGGUCACGUGUGGCCAGACGAGAGUACCGUACGAAUAAGCAUCGGCUAACUCCGUGCCAGCAGCCGCGGUAAUACGGGGGAUGCAAGCGUUAUCCGGAUUUAUUGGGUUUAAAGGGUGCGUAGGCUGUGAGGUAAGUCAGCGGUGAAAUGCCCCCGCUCAACGGGGUGAAGUGCCAUUGAUACUGCCUGGCUGGAAUGCGGAUGCCGUGGGAGGAAUGUGUGGUGUAGCGGUGAAAUGCAUAGAUAUCACACAGAACACCGAUUGCGAAGGCAUCUCACGAAUCCGCGAUUGACGCUGAUGCACGAAAGCGUGGGUAUCAAACAGGAUUAGAUACCCCAGUAGUC